GAUGUGUAGCUCAGUGGCAGAGCACUUGCCUGGCAUGUGAGAGGCCAUGGAGUCCAUCCCAGGACCAUACACACAGAAGAUGUCUUUGACAGGACUCAAGCAUGAGAGUUUAUAUAUUUCACUAUUUCCCCUACAUGAUGGCUGAAAUAUAGGAAAUCAAUGAAAUUUUGUCUAUGGGCCAUGUACUUUGCUGCUUGCUAUCUCCAUCCAUUCUGAUCAAGACAUAGGAGACACUGGAAAGAUACCAUGGACUAGGGAUGCCUGGUGGAUAUGUCUGUGGUGAGGACCAGAGCUUCCUUCUCCUUGGCACCUACCCAUGGAGGCUCCACUGUGGAUUCAGGAUGCCUGAGGUUCAUGUGAGGAAAA